rnacentral:telomerase_RNA from 1 species
CGGCGGGAACCCAACGUGACGGAGUUGACGCUCCUGUCGCCCAACCUAACCUAGGUGAACUUGGAAGGGGGUUUUUGCUACCUUUUUGCCCCAAAAACAAUAAAGGUUUGCGUUCCCGCCAUAAUCAAAUCAAAGAAACAUUUCGCCUUUCACAGCACCUGUGCGUGCUAAAGGUAUAAGGUCGUAUGUGCUCAAUAA